UUUUCAUAUUCGCGAUUUGAUAAUCGUCGCGAUAUGGCAAGUACCUUUUUAUACUUUGCUUAUGGCAGCAAUUUGUUAAUGAAAAGAAUUCACUUCAAUAAUCCAACAGCCGUGCGAAAGGACAUUGGUCGCUUAAAAAAUUACAGGCUUGAUUUUAUAACGUACACAAAAAGAUGGGGUGGAGCAGCAGCUACGAUAGUUCCUACAGAAAAUUGUUCUGUAUGGGGCGCAAUUUGGGAAUUGGAUACAUGUAAUCUUUCUACGUUGGAUUGUCAAGAGGGUGUUAUGGAUAAUAUAUACUUUCCAUUAAUGGUCAACGUUGAAACUCCCAGUGGUACUGUUUUAGAAUGUAGAGUAUAUCAACAAUGUAAUAUUCCAGCGAACUAUAUAAAACCAAUGUUCCUACCAAUCGAGAGGCGACCAUCGCCUCUUUAUUUAGAAACAAUUAUUAAAGGUGCUCAAGAGAGCCAACUUCCUGAUAGUUAUAUACAAUUUUUAAAGAUGAUAUCGCACAAUGGAUUUAAGGGAAAAUGUGAAAUUAGCCUAUCCUUGAAAGAAGCUUAACAUCUGUGACUCUACAUCUUUGUGUAAAGUUUUGAGGGUUUGUUCGGCCAUUAAUAAUUCUGAAGCUUCCUGCAGAAUUAACUUAUCUAAGGCCACUUUUUUUCUAAUACAUUUGUGUUGCAUCUUAGAAUUGUAAAACAAAAUGUAGUCUUUAAUAAUGGAGCAAUGAGUGGUGGAGUUAAUAGUCAAAGUAUUAUUUGUAUCCAUUCGUAUCUAUUACUUUUUAAUUUAUAUAUAACACAUAUACUUUUGCACAUUGAACAGUUCAAAUAUUAUAAUACACUCAUACAAUUUA